GUGAUUUUUAUAUAGCUAUGUAAACCUACAGCCAACUCAUUCAGCUUGCUCACUUGGAGUUGCUUUAAGUGCUCUAUUAGUCUUCUUUAAGGAGUUAUUUAAAAAAAACAGAUGUUCAAACAAACCAGGUAAUUACUGUUUUUCAUUGUUUUUAUAUAAUUGUUGCUUUGUUGUGUCUUGGUAAAUGAGGGUAGCAGCAAGAUUGAAAGUGUGACACUGUGCACACCAUGUAACAUGGAUGCGCGCCUGGAAGAAUCCUUCUAGGGUCCAUGACCCUGUGGCAGGUGUGCCCAAGAGGAAGUCCAGAAUGAAGAUCUGGAGAAGCAAAUUCCAACAUUGAGGCAGACUGAUAAUUGUUAAAGGGAUCUGCUGCUUACUGAGCAGAGUUUAGUGGGGGUAUGUAGUGGUGUGGUUAUAGAAAAGGCAGCUAGGAAACAGGCACAUAGCUGG